GGCACCACGAGGGUUACACUGUCUCCUCUUUCUAAUCAGUGAAACUAAUCUCCCCGUGAAGAAGCUGGGAUUUUUUUAUAAGACGAGAAGACCCUAUGGAGCUUUAAACUACUAACACUUGCUGCCAUUCACUCCCCCUUCCAGAAACUUUUUAUUAAGCAUAGCAUCAUGAUUAAUAGUUUUCGAUUGGGGUGAUCGCGGAGUAAAAAACAACCUCCAUGCCGAAAGGGCUUCCUCCCCUGAGCCAAAAGCUACAACUUAAAGCACUAAAAAAUUAACGUUUAUUGACCCAAUAAUUUUGAUCAACGAACCAAGUUACCCUAGGGAUAACAGCGCAAUCCACUUCAAGAGCUCCUAUCGACAAGUGGGUUUACGACCUCGAUGUUGGAUCAGGGUAUCCCAGUGGUGCAGCCGCUACUAACGGUUCGUUUGUUCAACGAUUAAAACCCU
rnacentral:rRNA from 1 species